UGUCGCCACUCUACUCACUUCAAUAGUAAAAAAUUGGAAGAGACAGAGAUGAUUAUCAUGGACCUGCACAAGGAUGAUGUAAACAUUGAUGAAGUAUUCUGUUUAUUU